rnacentral:sRNA from 1 species
UUGAAAACCCUGUUACUGAGAGACACAAGCUAUUCAUCGAGUAUUUUCAGACAUUGAUUCAGUUCUUAAUACAGUGAAGAGAUCCCUUCUUUUUCCUCCUCUAUUUACUGUGUUUAUGCUUUCAUACUCAAUUAUGUUGUUUGCUUCAAUCAGUAUGUCUGAGUAAUCUGCUUGUUAGAAAUAGGGUUUCUCAUUAGGGAUUCAUAUGGUUUAGUAGAUUGCCCCCUUGCUAGGUUAUCUGUAGAAUUCUGCAUCUUUAAUUAUGCUUAAUGCUAGAUCUAGAGUAAUUAACUAGAUCUUGAAUCCAGACAAUAGAUAUGCUGAUAGUAGGAUUUUUCACAGGUGUUUAAAUCCAGGUGAUCAAUUCCCUAACACUAUCAUGUCAUUGUAGUAUUUAGGGUGUCAAUCCAAUUAGGUGAGUUUGCUAUCAAUCAAGAUGCAAUCAGCAUGUACUAAGUCAAGCCAAGUCUAGAUGAUUUGAGUUAUCUAACAACCUAAGUAAUUAUGCAAGAAACUAACUAUACUAAGCAGAAAAUAAAGAACAUGAGUGAUAAAAGCAAGAAGUAAACUACAGACCAGGAACUCUCAAUGCAUAAACUUAAACAAUGAACUAAGUAGAGGAAAGUAAAGAUGCUCGACCGAGUAUGAACAUGCAGGUCGAGUAAACAUGUCGAGUAACAAAGUCGAGCAGAAUAACAAAGCAGAACGAGCAGAUAAACUAAACUGAACGAGCAGAAGAGUAAAUAACACGAAACUCAAUAAAUCUAAGCGCAACAGAGCUCUUAAGAAUGGGGUAAUUGGUUCUAGUGGACUCCUCAAUCCAUUUAGCUAACUAACAAACUCAAUCAAGCUAUCCCUAGACAAUAGAUUCAAAACCAAAUCAAUCCACUUCCGUGCGAAUGAUUCUCAUAACUUUAGAACUUCCUAAUCUCAAUUUCCAUUGAUGAAACAUAAUAAAGCAGGCUUUAAACACCAAUCUAUUAAAGUCAAUAAGCAGUCUAAACAUCCAAUGUCUUGGGCUAGAAUCUACAAAUCUCUGAAAUUAGUUGGUUUAGACAUUUCAUCAAACACCUUUUGGGUGGAGAAAGUCUGAAAUCAAUUUUCAAUUGAUCUGAAAGAAAAUAGCAUUAAGAACUCCUAAAACAGAAGGGAAUCAUGCAUUUAUAAACUUAGCUAGCUAAAGAGAAGAGGAAUCCACCUAAACCUAACCCAUCCUCAAGAACUCUGAAGAACACUACUCAUGAACUAUGAAGAACAUCAUACAAAACCCAGAAAAAUCAUAAAACCCAGAAAUCAUUAUAAACUUAGUAUGCAAUAGAUCUAAACAAGAUAAACAACUUUGUAGAAGAAAAUAAUUGCAAAAACUUAAAGAUUCAACAGGAAAUUAAAGGAACAUAUUUAGGGUUUUUCACCAAAGAGGCUAGAACAAAAGGAAUAAAAGAGGAAUAUCCAUUAGGUAAACGGAAGGGGUCUAUUUAUAGCAAAUACUAGGUUGCCCUAAUUCGCUAGAAGACAAAAUAAGAAAGUCGGCGCAGGACCGCUCGGCCCUAGGCCGAGUAGAAAAGCCGAGUGGCUUGGUCUUAGUCACAUCGCUCGGCUCUUGGCCGAGUGGCUUGGUCGAGUAGGUGCAAAUCUUCAAGAUUCACUUUUUCUUCACUUACUCGACAUGCACAUCGAGUAUAAAGGUCGAGUAUACUUCAAAUUCUUCCUUAGGUCCUCCGGACUCGAGUCUGUCCAUCCCUUGUGGUAGAAACCUCCAAGUUGAGUCCAAAAGUAUCUAAUUCACCUGCAAAACACUCCAAAUGCAAGUAUGUUAUGCAAUGCAAUGCAAAAUGUGCAAAAGAAGGAAAAGAGACUAAGAAUGCAUGAAAAGAGACUUGAAACUAAGCUAAAUGCAUGAAAAACAAGGGCUUUAAAAGGUUAAAAUCUAGUGUUAUCAUAUGCCCGCCAUAGGUAUCUGUAGUUGGAUCUAAAACAAGGACUUUAGCCAUCUUCUUCACAACACAACCUAAUCUUUCACUUAGUCUAUUCAAGCAUUCAAAUCAGCAUAUUCCCUUUAACAUUCAUUAAGCAAGAACCAUGGAUCAUACUAUACAAUGCAUAUUAAACUCAUUUGGCUAAGGGCAAAGGGUCAAAAGACAAAAAGGUCCCUUAAAGAAUAGGCUUUAGUAACAAGGGAUCUCUCAAGAAUGAUUAAGCUUUAGUAGAAUGCUAAAGGUAAGUCCCAAGUUAUGCAUACAUAGAUAAGAUCCCAUCUACCCAAAGUAUAAUCAAUGAAGACCUAAUGGCAAUCCCAUCUCCCAUCCUAAUUAAGAACUUGACUCUACCCUUUUGCAUUCAUAAUCUUUUGAACUCUUUCUUAACCCAUUCUUUUCUUUUUUUCUUAACUCUAGGAGAAGCUUUUCUUUUCUCUUUGAUACUUCUAGCGGGUUUGGCUUUCUUUAGUACUAAGGUUCUGUUUUUGAUCUCUAUUAAGCUUAGGGCUUUUUACCCUUCUUUAUUAGCUAACAAUAACCCAAUCUCUUUCUUUAACAAUCUCAAACCCUUUACUAGACUUUUUCUAACUUCUUUAGCUUACUUCUCCUAGAAUUCUUUUCCCUUUUCUUGUAAACAAUGAACUCAAUCCUUUUUCUCUUUUAAACUCUUCCCAACCCAUAGAACAAGUACCCACCUAGUCCUAUCUAGUUCGGAUAACGCGAACUAGAACUACAUGAGAUACUAUCUUUGUCGUUAU